rnacentral:rRNA from 1 species
GGGAGUGAAAUAGAACCUGAAACCCUGCACUUACAAGCUGUGGAAGCACAUUUCUUGUGUGACCGCGUACUUUUUGUAGAACGGGCCAACGAGUUGCGUUAAGUAGCAAGGUUAAGCACUUAAGGUGCGGAGCCGGUGCGAAAGCGAGUUUUAACUGAGAGUUCAGGUAAUGGACGUAGACCCGAAACCGGGCGAACUAACAAUGAGCAGGAUGAAGCGAAAGUAAAAGUUCGUGGAGGGCCGAACCCACGAGCGUUGAAAAGCUCGGGGAUGACGUGUGGGUAGCGGUGAAAUUCCAAUCGAGCCCGGAGAUAGCUGGUUCUCCCCGAAAUAGCUUUAGGGCUAGCCUCAAGGUGAGAGAUACGGAGGUAGAGCACUGAAUGUCCUAGGGGGUAUUGCACCUACCGAAGACUAUCAAACUCCGAAUGCCGUCAUCUUAUACUUGGGAGUCAGACUGUGGGUGAUAAGAUUCAUAG